AUUGAACGCUGGCGGCAGGCCUAACACAUGCAAGUCGAACGAGCGGCGGACGGGUGCGUAAUGUCUGGGAAACUGCCUGAUGGAUGGUGAUAACUACUGGCAACUGUAGCUAAUACCGCAUACCAUCAGAGGUGCCCAGAUGGGAUUAGCUUGUGGGUGGGGGAACGGCUCACCUAGGCGACGAUCCCUAGCUGGUCUGAGAGGAUGACCAGCCACACUGGAACUGAGACACGGUCCAGACUCCUACGGGAGGCAGCAGUGGGGAAGAUUGCACAAGGGGCGCAAGCCUGAUGCAGCCAUGCCGCGUGUAUGAAGAAGGCCUUCGGGUUGUAAAGUACUUUCAGCGGGGAGGCGUUACCCGCAGAAGAAGCACCGGCUAACUCCGUGCCAGCAGCCGCGGUAAUAC
rnacentral:rRNA from 1 species